GAUUAGUAGCAGAGAAACUAGAAUGGGGGAACACUGAUCAGAUCAAUGAAAUUUUACAGAAACAUCCUGGAGGUUUUGACAUCAUUCUUGGAGCUGAUAUCUAUAUCCUUAUGUAUUUAAUCCCACUGUUCUCAUACUUUAGAACUAAGCAAAAUUGCCUUCAAAUAUGAUGGCUUGAUGAAAUAUAGGUAAAUACAUAAAUACUGAUAUCUCUUUUCUAAAUCAGACAUCUUUUUUUUACGAGGACAAAUAUCAGUAGAUGAAUUUAUUUAUUUUCCUGAAAAAGCCAAAGUUUUAUUCAAUAUGGUUAAAAUAACCCAGUAAUAUUCAUUACUAACCCAGCAUGUUACAAAGUGUUUUUCUCAUCUACCUAUUUUAAAGCCUUUGCUAGAUGUUAUAGCAUUAUGAGAACUAAUUUCAGUUUUUUUGCUGAAAUGAAUUAGAGGAUCAAAUGACACUGAAUUUCUGUGAAGCUUGAAAUUAAAAUGUGCUUUUCAUCUAUAGAUUUUGUGUAAUAAUAUUUCAUUUUCCCCAAAGAAAAAUUAAUUUCAUUGACCUUGACAACCACAAGCUUUCAGCAGUCAAGCAUCCCUUUGCUGUUUGAUAGUGUUAGACAGCUUCUCCAAGUUAAAGAAGGCGGAAAAUGCAAGUUCAUACUAGCCUAUGUAUCACGAGCCAAGAUG
rnacentral:lncRNA from 1 species